UCACCACUAGACAACUUAGAAUUUGACUAAGCAGUUACCACACUGCCCACUAAAUCAACUAUCACCUAGAAGAUUUAGAAUUUGACUAAGCAGCAAACAAUGCUGCCCACUAAAUCAGUUACCCUUAACUGAUUUAGACUUUACAAACAAACACGAGAUCUGAAUCCUUUAUAGAUUAGGAACAGAUUUACAAUGCAAGUACAUAAGAUAUACUCCUAAAGACAACUAAGAUUCCAGCUCUAUCAGAUCCCUGUUGUUCUUGAGGAUGAUUUUUCGCUUUGAUGUUAGCCUUUGCAAGAGUUCUUGAGAGUUUUCAAGUUGCAAACACUAAGGUUGUGACUAUUGGACAGAAUCUUUAUGAAGAAUAGUUGCAGCCUUCAAGGCCAUACCAUUGGUCGAGGUUUCUGUCAUUUUUGCCACAGUUGGAGACUGUGCACCAACCAAUUGUACUUUUUUUCCAGCCUGGCAGUUGUGUGUAUAUUUGCACAAGGAUCAGGUCCCUUUACAAGGUCCCAUGGUUUGUCAAAUCAUCAAAACUACAAAUAACAUUUUUCCCCUUUUUGAUGAUGACAAACUGUACACAAAUGCCUACGUUUUCUUCCAAUCUUCCCCCUGUCGAUCAAACCCUUAUCAGUCAUUUAUUCCCUCUGCCAAUCAGACCUUCCACCACAACCUAAGCAGCCAACAUGGAUUCCCCCUUUUGGCAUCACAAAAAAGAAGUACAGUAAACCAGCAUAACAAGUAAGAUUGUUAAGUAAGAUCAGAGCCAAGGGCAACACAAACAUGGUUAAAAAGAAUAGGAUUAGACAGAGAUUAGUCACAACAAAACAGGAAUCAACUUCAUUGCACAAAAAUCAGCAGUCAAUACAUUAAAUUUAAACUGAAAUGGAGAACCCCAGACACUGUCCACACAAAAAGAAAGACACAGGAAAGGACGGAGAGGACUAUGAGGAAGGAGGCUGAUGGGAGAGGGACUUAAUAACAAGAGUGAGUCUAGCAUUUGCUUCAUCAUUAUCCUUGAUCAUUUUCUCUUAUAGGGCAGCAAUUUGAGCAAGGAGCACAUCAUUCUGCUUCCUCAACUCUUUGACCUCUGCAGUACCAGGUCCCUCAGUCUGCGCUUUGAGCAACUUAGCUUUUAGUAGGGCAAUCUCAGCAUCUUUGUUGCUCACUCGCACAGUCAUUUCCUCCCGUUCAUGCUUCAACUGAUCUUGUUCCAUUACCAACUAAGAUAUCUUGCUCAGUGGACCCACUUUUCCUUCAAUACACUCGCAUUCCACCAGGUUAGAGUGAAGGCUUGCUUGGCAGUACCAAUCUUAUCCGUUCCCACAGGAAUGUUGAAAUGGUGAAACACCUUGGUCAAGAAAUAGCCAUAGCCCAUGACAUGUUUGCCCUUGUGUUCGAUCACUGACUUGUACAUGUACUCCAUCAUGAGGGCUGGAAGGUCUAUGGGUUCGAACUUGCAUAUUGAUUCCAUGAUGAACAGAUCAGUUGCAGAGGCAGCAGUCGUUUUUUCUGUCCGAGGACGAAGAACUUUGUUGACAAAUUCGAACAUCAAUUGGUACUCCCCUUUAAUGAGUUUCUUCUAAACCCCAGCACGACGCGUAUUAGGAAUCUUGGAGCACUCUUUCACAAAUUCUGUGGUGUAGGAUUUCCGACUAAGGACAUGAUCCCUUCUCUGGGUACUUCCAGUAUUUGUCCCAACAGGUCCUCAUCCAGAUGUAAACUCUUUUCUCCUACCCUAGUGUUGAUGCUACCAUCCUCUGCAAAUUCUAUGUUAUAAUAAGAUUCUCUAACUUCUUCCUCAUGUAGAACAGGAGAUUUGAUCUGAAACAAGUGAGUCCAAGACUGAAUUUCCACCAGAUCAUACAGAGAGUCCAUCCCUGGCUUGGUAAUGAUAUCAAGGUCAAACACCAAUCCUCCUAGAACCCUUUGUAAACGCAGAUUAUUAACAAUUGUUUGUUUGCUUACUGCGGGAGCAACCUUGUUACCUUUGGGACCUGGUCCCUGCGCAGAGGUAUGCUGGAGAACAGGAGAAGUUUCUCUCUUUCUCUUGGAUGAUUCCCUCCCCUUUGUGAAUCUUUACCCUUUUCUUUUGUGGGAUCUCCCCUCUUGGAUAUAGAUGCCUUGGGUUUUCUUUUACUGGUCUUCUUUACUUGUUUUCCCAGGGGAGAGUCUUCUCCCACACAUUCAUGCUCGGAAACUUCAAUGGAAACAUCGACCACAUCAGCAUUAGGCAUCUCAAAGACCGCAUCACCAGAUUUCCUUCUCCUUCGAUUUUCUGCAGUAGUAGUUUCACUGGACUUGAUAGCGUCCCCCAUGAGUUUUUGGGAGAUAGCCCUGGUAAAGGGCCUCUUUCGAGGAGUUUCUUUAGUGACCUUUUCCUUACCCUUUGUGGAGAUAGGAACCAUUAUCCUUUGCACAGACCAUUUGAGAGGAAUAUUAUCCUUAUCGGUGUCAAUAGAAUCUGAGGAUGGAUAGGCGCCAACCUCUGGAGUCUAGUCAAAAACUGGUUGAGAACCCCCAAGUAUUUCAUCCACAAAGUUUUCUCUUUCUUCAUGCAUUACCCCUUCCCUCAUAUGUGCUAGACUCUCAAUAACUAGGUUUUCAUUGGCUGUAAGGAUAUUAGACUCAGAGGACUUACUCUUAGGAAGAUCACCCUCAAACAGAUGGUCAGAUAACAUGGCAGAAUAGGGACUAGGUUGAUAUGAGGAUGCUGGGUUAUUGAGAUCAAUGGGAGACUGGGGGUAAGAGGACUAGAUUUAGUAAUGUUGACCGGAGAGAUGGUCGGCAUUUUCGAUGGAGAGAGAACAUCAGAUGAUGUAUAAAAUGCCACUGGAUCUAUUUCGUUUAAGGAAUCCAGCAUUUUCUUUGAAGAGGACGGUGACUGAGACAUGUUAGAGAAAAAAAGGAGAAAGAUACUGAAGAGAAGGAGAGAUUAGGGAUUUUUGUGGAGAGCUUUUGUGAAAGAGAGAAAGAUUUUGAAUUGUGAGUAAAUGGAGUGAAUAAAGGUUGUAUAAAAAGAAGUGAAACGAUGUGUCAAUUCCUUGAGUAGACGCGAUGCUUGAACUUAAAGCGAUAGGGCAACGGUCAGAAUGGCCGAUGAUUGACACGUGGAGAUCUUAACGGUUCUCAUUCAAUAGUUUAAACCAAAUGUAGAGAAUGCUAACCUUAGCAGAGGACCAGGUUUUGUCCUACAUACGAAGUUUGAUUCCUGAAUGGUUCUGACCAUUCUUCACUUCUGUAAUUUCCAUGAGUGUAUACUUGUAGUAGGUACAUAGUUGAUCUUACAUAAACAAUACAUUACUAGUAAUGAGGAUACCUGCCCUCCUGAUCAUAGAAAAAAGAGGAAUUUGGUGCCUUUGGAUGGGAUUAGGUCAGUGCAUACUCAUCAUUCCCAGCUUCAGCCUGUUACUUUCAAAUUGAUCUUUGCUGAGGGCCUUUGUGAAAAUAUCUGCGAUUUGAUCUUCAGUUCUGCAAUAUUGCAUGCUGAUAUUCCCCUUUUCAACAUUGUCUCUCAAGAAGUGAUGCCUAACAUCAAUGUGCUUUGUUCUUUUGUGUUGAACUGGAUUCUUUCCCAUGUUGACUGCACUGGUAUUGUCAUACAUGAGAGGAAUAGUAUGGAUAUGUACUCCAAAAUCUUCAAGUUGUUGCUUGAUCCAUAGUAGUUGAGCCCAACAGGAUGCAACAACUACAUAUUUUGCCUUAGCUGUUGAGAGAGCUACUGAAUUCUGUUUCUUAGUUCCCAAGAGAUGAGUGAGGAUCCAAGAAAGUGUGCCAUUCCGGAGGUACUCUUCCUGUCAACCUGAUAUCCUGCAAAAUCAGCAUCUGCAUACCCUACCAGUUCAAAAGAGUCACCUACUGGGUAGAAGAGGACCAAGUCCAUUGUCUUCUUUAGAUACCUCAGAAUACGUUUGGCAGCUUUGAGAUGUGAUUCCCUGGGACAUGCUUGAAAUCUUGCACACAUUUCCAUACUGAAUACGAUAUCAGGUCUACUUUCUGUGAGAUACAAUAGUGAACCAAUGAUACCUAUGUACAUGGUUUGAUUCACUAAUGGAUCAGCUUCAUCUGCUCUCAUCUUUGAGUUUGUACCCAUGGGGGUAUCAAUAGGCUUAGAGUCCAUCAUAUGAAACUUCUUUAGCAGCUCUUUUGUGUACUUUUCUUGACAGAUUAAGGUACCACUUGAAGUUUGCUUGAUCUGUAGUCCCAAGAAGAAGUUCAACUAUCCCAUCAUGCUCAUCUCGAAUUUAUUUCCCAUUAGAGUAGCAAAUUCAUCACACAGAUGUUCAAAAGUAGCUCCAAAAAUGAUAUCAUCCACAUACACUUGGCUAAUGAACAGUUCAUGUUCCCUUUUCAUUUGAAACAAAGUGUUGUCUAUCUUGCCCCUUUUGAACCCAUUCUUCAGAAGAAAUUUGGACAGCCUUUCAUACUAGGCUCUGGGCGCUUGCUUCAAACCACAUAGGGCCUUGUUGAGUUUGAACACAUGAUUUGGGCGGUCAGCAUCCUCAAAUCCAGGUGGUUGUUUCACAUACACUUCUUCCUUUAAAUCUCCAUUUAAGAAGGCACUUUUGACAUCCAUCUGGAAGAGCUUGAAUCCCAUGAAUAUUGCAAAGGCUAUAAGGAUUAUGAUAGCCUCCAUUCGAGCAACGGGGGCAAAAGUUUCAUCAUAGUCGAUGCCUUCCUCUUGAUUAUAGCCUUGAACAACUAGUCUAGACUUGUUCCUCGUGAUAACUCUAUUUUCAUCAAGCCUAUUUCUGAAUACCCACCUGGUCCCUAUGAUGGUUCUGUCUCCAGCUCUGGGGACCAGGUACCAUACUUUACUCCGCUCAAACUGAUGUAGUUCAUCUUGCACUGAACUGACCCAAUCAGCGUCUUUCAAGGCCUCCUUCAUAUUUAUAGGCUCAAUAGUUGAUAUGAAAGCUGAGAAUGCAACCAGAUUUCUAGUCUUGGAUCUUGUUUGCAUCCCAGAGUUCAAGGGAGAAAUAAGAUUCUCAAGGGGGUGAGAUGAUUUAUGCUUCCACCUUGAUUUAGAACUCAGGGGUUGGGGUUGAUCCAUCUUUUCUAUAUCAUCUCCAGAAUCAUCGUUCUCAUGAUGAUGAGUUUCCUCUUGAUCUGCAUUGCGGGAUGUACCAGGUCCCUUGGUGGGCUGAUCAUCUUCAUUAAUCUUCCCUGAUGGACCAAGGCCAGUAUCAUCAGACUCUUGAUUUCCUUCAGCUUCUGGGUCGUUAACUUCAUUACUCUGGAUUUUGAACAGCUCUACAAGAUUAUUAUCAUCUUUCAUCUUCAGGUUCUUCAGUUCGCCACUCUCAUCAAAAAUCACAUGAACACUUUCCUCAAUGCAUAGUGUUCUUUUAUUGAAGACUCUGUAAGUUUUGCUGGAGGAUGAGUACCCUACAAAAACACAUUCAUCACUUCUGGGAUCGAACUUUCCGAGUUCAUCCUUGCCAUUGUUUAGUACGAAACAGUUGCAACCAAAAGCCCUUAAAUAGUUUAGCUUGGGUUUCUUGUUGUUGAGCAACUCAUAUGGUGUUUUGUUUAGUAGGGACCUGAUCAAGCACCUAUUAGUCACAUAACAUGCAGUGUUAAAUGCUUCAGCCCAAAAGUUUUGAGGAAGAUUUGACUCGAUGAGCAUGGUUCUGGAAAUGUCUACCAGAGUUCUGUUCUUCCUUUCCACAACGUCGUUUUGUUGAGGCGUUAUGGGUGCUGAGAAGUUAUGAUAAAUACCAUUUUCUGCACAGAAGUUGUCAAGCUUCGCAUUUUCAAACUCAGUUCCAUGGUUGGACCUGAUCACAGCAAUCCUGUAGUUAAGCUUCGUUUAGAUCAUUUUAAAGAAUGUCAUUAGCACCUCAACUGUCUCAGCUUUUGAACAUAGUCCAUGUGAAUCUUGAGUAAUCAUCCACAAUCACCAGGAUGUACUUUUUUCCGCUUCGACUUUGGAUUUUCACAGGCCCAUACAAAUCCAUGUGCAUCAACUCAAGAAUCCUUGAAGAGCUUACUUGCUUCUUCUAUUUGAAUGAAGAUCUGGUUUGUUUCCCUUUGACACAUGCAUCACACACUUUGUUGUCACUGAACUUUAGUUUUGGCAAGCCACGAACCAGGUACCUAGAGACAAGUUUGUUCAAUAGAGAAGAGCUCACAUGACCUAGCCUCCUAUGCCAUAAGUCGGCAUUUUCACUUUGAGCACUUAGGCAUGUCAGAUCGUCUCCAUGAGUUGUUUCCAGAUCUGCUACAUACAUGUUUUUCCGCCUUCUGGCAGUCACGAUCACCUUCUUGGUAGACAAGCUAGUAAAAAUGCAUUUGUCUGAUGAAAACUUGACUUAAUUUCCCUUAUCACAUAUCUGGGAAACUCUAAGAAGACUGUAUUUUAACCCACUCACAUAGCAUACAUUUUCAAUAGAAUCUUCAGUUGAUUUCCCAACCCUGCCAACUCCAAGAAUAUACCCAUUCUUUCCAUCGCCAAAAAAUACACCUCCACCUUAAAGUGCCUUGAGUGAAAGGAAGUUUUUGGUGUUCCCAGUCAUGUGCUUCGAGCAUCCACUAUCCAUGAACCAGCUGAUGCUUAUCUUGAUCAACGACACUAUCCUACGGUAUGAGUGUCUACGAUCGUCGAUAAUAAAGUAACCCAACCAAGGGUUGGGGUCGUGUCCCAAGGGAGCGGUUUUGAGAAUUGAUAGAAAAAUAGAAUUAAAUUCUAACUAGUCGUAGCUAAAGAUAUUAACGAACAAAAACAUAGUAAAUAAAAGGGGGUGACACGAAAGUGUCAAAUAUCAAAUGGGGAUUUUGUAACAAGUGAUAAAACAACAAAAUAAACAAGAAAAUCAAGUAUGGGGAAAGGUUCUUGGAAUGUGACCGCAAUAUAAGUUGAGAUAAAUUGUUGGGUACGUGCUUUCGAUAGGAAAUUUACAAAAUAAUAGUGACUAGGCUAAGCUUUAAAUGGAAGUAAGUUCCCUCCCGGGAAACUUAACCCAUUUCAAAUGCGUUCCUCUCAGACACCCAUUUGCCGCAUGAAGACCAGCCUACGCCUUACCCACUCACUCUCUCGAGAUGAGUGUUANNNNNNNNNNNNNNNNNNNNNNNNNNNNNNNNNNNNNNNNNNNNNNNNNNNNNNNNNNNNNNNNNNNNNNNNNNNNNNNNNNNNNNNNNNNNNNNNNNNNNNNNNNNNNNNNNNNNNNNNNNNNNNNNNNNNNNNNNNNNNNNNNNNNNNNNNNNNNNNNNNNNNNNNNNNNNNNNNNNNNNNNNNNNNNNNNNNNNNNNNNNNNNNNNNNNNNNNNNNNNNNNNNNNNNNNNNNNNNNNNNNNNNNNNNNNNNNNNNNNNNNNNNNNNNNNNNNNNNNNNNNNNNNNNNNNNNNNNNNNNNNNNNNNNNNNNNNNNNNNNNNNNNNNNNNNNNNNNNNNNNNNNNNNNNNNNNNNNNNNNNNNNNNNNNNNNNNNNNNNNNAAAGUAUGUUCUAAAGUGAAAAUAAUAAUAAUAAUUGUUCCACUCUGCCCAUCUCCUUUAAGACUACAAUUCUAACUAGUAUUUAUAGUUUUCACAGAUUGUGCUGCGGAGGAUUGUUCGGCGACAUUAGUCUAGAUCACCGAUGAACUCGGCGAUCCGCCUUUUGGUCAGCUCAUCGCCUUUAGCAUCAUCGCAUUCUGGAUCAUUGGGUGGUACAGUUCUGCUUCGCGAAACUGAUCGGCGACUCGUUGACUGCUCCUUUCCUCGCCUUUUGAUCCACUUCCCUUAAGGCUUUGGGUACUGAAACGAAGGGCGGUUCAUGUCAUUUCGGCGAUCCGCAGGAUUCCAUUUCUUAUUCUUUUCAGCCCUAUUUUCUCCUUUUGCACCUAAGUGUCCAUGCUUCCACUAAAACUUCAAAUACCUGAAACUUCAGCAUUUUAAUCAGGUAUUGAGAUAAAACAAGCAUUAAAAGACACUAUUUCCAUUAAAUAAAGAUCUAAAUGAGUCAUAUUUGUGGACUCAUCACCAGAACUGACUGCUACUUCCUUCACUCCCCUGCAACAAAGAUCAGUUAUUAGACUUGGAAACCUACUUUAAUCUGAGUUCCCAAUAAGAUGAAAAGGGCAUAAUAAGAAUGUUUCUUACUCAAUCAGGCAGGUUGGUUCUUUUCUUGUUCAAGGACUUAGGAAUGGGAGCAGGUCCCCUUUUUGGAGCUAUUUUCUGUCUAGAAUAGACUGUGAAUUUUUCUUGUGAGGCCUUCCAGGCAGGACAAUCCUUUUUCAGAUAGCCAUUGCGACCACAAUGAAGACACAAUAGAUUAUCUGACACAGAUACAUAUUUACUGUGGGGAUUGUAAGGAGGAUUAAUGUUCAAGCUAACUAAUCCCUUUCUAUUGUAGUUGCUUUGACUGGUUAUGUUAGAAAGCAGCUUGAUGGAGCUGGUCCAUUUAGAGAAGUUUUGAGUUCUUCUCUCAGACAGACCAAGUCCCUCUCCAUUUGAUCAUUUCUUUCCAAGGCUAGAGAAAGUCUAGUCUCAACAGAGUUUAGACUGGCUUCUAGCUCUGCUUGCAAGCUAGUGACCUCCCCCUUACUUUUCCUAUAUUUCUCAUUCAUUAGGCUCAGUUGUUCCUUGAGUUCUAGGUUUUCAACUUCUAGAACUAUCACUUGUUCCUCAAUAACAGACAUGUGAACGGUUAUCACUGUCUUUUCUUCACUCAAACUAUCUAAGUUGUUGUUCAUAGAAUCCUUUUCAGUCGUUAACUCUAUGACAUAGUCGAUCAGAACAUCAACUAGCUUUCUAACAGAAUAAGUAUUCAAGUUUUGUUUAAGGUCAAGGAGAGUUACCUUUUCUUCAUCGUCCUCGUCAUCUGAUUUUGCCAUGAGAGAAAACAGGCCAUCAAAUAUGUUAGUAUCAUCUUGAACAACCAACAUGGAUGCAUCAUCAGGACAUUCUGAUUCUCCUGAUUCACUUGAGAAGUCCCCCAUACAGCAAGAGCUUUCUUCACGACAUAGUCAGUUGCAGCUUUUCUUGCAUUUUUCUGAGGUACCAGGUCCCUUCUCCUAUCUUUUUCACCUCCAGGUCUUUGAUACUCUUUGUUUUCAACUUUGAGCAUCGGGCAGUCUCUUAUGAAAUGCCCCGCUUUUCCGCACUUGUGACAGAGAUCACCAGCAGUUGCAGCACGAAGAGGAUUCCCUCCUUUUCUAAACCCUCCAUGUUUUCUCACAAUUUUUUGAAAUCUCUUGGUGAGAUAGGCCAUGUCGUCCUCUUCACUAGAGUCUUCUCCUGAUGUGAUUUUGAGGACUAGAGACUUGUCUUUCUUGGUUUCCUUCUUUGAGAUGUCUUGAUUUCUGUUCAUUUCAUAAGUUUUAAGAUUUCCAAUGAGAGCAUCCAUCGUCAGAACCUUCAGGUCCUUUGCUUCAGUUAUUGCAUCUACUUUGCUUGCCCAUGUCUUGGGAAGAAUUUGAAGAAUCUUCCUGACUUGCUUACUGGAGCUAAUAGGUUCUCCCAAACUUCGCAACUCGUUGGUUAUGGAGGAAACUCUUGUAUGCAUGUCAUGAAUAGUUUCCCCCUCCUUCAUUGUGAAGUUCUCAUAUUGGGUGGUCAGCAUAUCCACCUUCGAUUCCUUCACCUGCUCUGUGCCCCCAUGAGCUGUUCUUAAACAAUCCCAGAUUUCCUUUGCCGAUUCACACGCAUAAAUGCGGUUGUAUUCUUCUGCGCCUAUACCACACACUAACAACUUCUUAGCUCUAUAGCUCUUCUCGAUCUUCUUUCUGUCUGCCUCGUUGUACUAUUGGCGAGUCUUUGGAACAACUUUUGUGAUUUCACCAUCUUUCACUUCAGUGGUUGGAAUGAAAGGUCCAUCCAACAUUAUAUCCCAUAACUCGCUAUCUUCAGCCAUUAGAUAGUCGUGCAUCCUUGUUUUCCACCAGUUGUAGAACUGGCCAUUGAAACGAGGUGGUCGUGUUGAAGAUUGUCCUUCUUCAAGGUUCAGUGGAGCAGCCAUUCUUUUACAAGGGUAUCUCUCUUAGUGUUAACCAGCUAGAGAGAACCUGAUCUGAUACCAAUUGAUAAAUUGUGUGCGUCCACUAUCAGUCAACGGACCAGGUCCCUUGACUCAGCAAGAACAGUAAAUAAGAAUAAAUACUAAAGAGAACACAACACAAGCAGUUUACGUGGAAAUCUCUUUGCUCAAGGGAGUAAAACCACGACCUAUCUCACAGAAUUUUCAAUUGUUUCCACUAAUCUCUUCAAGCAAAAGUGAAACUCAGUUACACCCAACAUGAGAAGAAAUUAUUAAUCUCACAACUAAGUAAUAACUUUAUUACUUACUGAGCCUAAGCAGAUACCACACUGCCCACUAAGCUAUCACAACUAGACAACUUAGAAUUUGACUAAACAGUUACCACAUUGCCCGCUAAAUUAACUAUCACCUAGAAGAUUUAAAAUUUGACUAAGCAGCAAACAAUGCUGCCCACUAAAUCAGUUACCCUUAACUGAUUUAGACUUUUACAAACAAACACGAGAUCUGAAUCCUUUAUAGAUUAGGAACAAAUUUACAAUGCAAGUACAGAAGAUAUAAUCCUAAGACAACUAAGCUUCCAGCUCUAUCAGGUCC
rnacentral:lncRNA from 1 species